rnacentral:tRNA from 1 species
GGUCAGGUAGCCUAGUGGUUAAGGCAGCCCAUGCGUGUUGGGUCCAGAUCCAUUGGAUCUGGUUGCUGGUUUGAAUCCAGCCCCAACCA